rnacentral:lncRNA from 1 species
ACAAGUGCUGGCAAUGGCAGAUGCCACCUAGUGAAAUUUCAUUCUUUUCAGACGGAGAAGAGAACACUGGAGGCAAUGAAUUCUAUCAGGAAGUGAUCAACCAACCAGAUCCUCCUAUCUUUGAGGUCAACAUUCUUGAAGAAUCAAUCGAUGAAGCAUUAGUCGUUGAUGAAUUUCCUAUUAACCCAAGACCUUGUCAAUUUCACCAUAUACAAAAAUCCCGGCAUCCCAUAGAAUAGAUAUGUGCUCCUGAAAGACAUCAAUUGCAGGGUCAAGUUUCAAGCAUAGCAAUAUUCGAAGAUAUUUAAAAUGCAGCACCGGAAAGCGAAAACAUCAAAACAAUUUCUCCACAAAGUUCACGAUUGAAGCCUCAUUAGAUUGUACAAUGUGUGUGUGUGUGCGCGCGCACGCGCGGGGGCCGCGAUGUGUAAUAUAUACGUAUAAAGAUUUUAAACUCCACAAAAUUUAUGUUUGCAGGUGAGAGCAGCUGCACCGCACGUUAGUGAUCUAUCUCAAAAGGAACACAAGGCCGAUGAGCUUGAUGAGGACCAGAAAAUGCCUCGAACUGCUGAUGCUAAGUUUGAGGUCCAGUGAGUCAGAUGCCAGAAAUAGAAGGGGUUCUUUUCUUCUUCUGGUGAGGACUCCAUUUGACCUUACAACUAAUCCACCAUCAGUAUGCAUUCGCUAUAUGCUUCUCAGUCCCAUUUCGAUCAUUUUCUUUACUUAAGAAUGGCCUCUCUUCACUGGGCUAUGCUAUUCUUACCACGACGGCACGUCUCAUGAUGAUGCUGCUUGUGCUAAAAUCCUCGCUUAGAGUUUCGAAAUCCUAGUGUCAUUUACGAUAAAAUAAAAAUAAAAGUAUGAAAAGUCCUGAAUCGUGAUGUUGAAUGUAAAUUUCUGUGUACACUUGCCAUGUGGUUGUACUUGUACAAGCUACACAUUGUGUAAAACUUGCUACUACCUUUGGUAUUGUUUACAAGAAGUUUGAAUUGAGGAGACCGAAGUGAAUUUGCUCUUCCAUAGAAAUUGUCUCACACUUUUAAGGGAGUUGCCCGUGAUGUUCAAUUCCAUUGUGGUUAAUUAAGUG